rnacentral:misc_RNA from 1 species
GAAGUGCGAUAAGCAAUGCGAAUUGCAGAAUUCCGCGAAUCAUCAGAUCUUUGAACGCAAAUGGCGCCGGAGGGAUAUCCUUUCGGCAUGUCUGUUUCAGUGUCUGAGAGGUUUCAUACUAAUCUUAAUGUGAUUGAGAAGACGAAUGAUUUACUUACACUAAAUUAUUCAUUCUUCUCUCUCAUGAAAGAUGUGUGAGUGGAUCUUUCGGUCCCAUGAAGUGGUCACAUCACUCGCAUGUGAUUUCAUUGGGAAAUCACCGAAUUAUCCGCAUACUCACAGUAUCCAAAACAAAACUUCCAUACCCUGCAUCUGAGAUAGGCAAGAUCACCCGCUGAACUUAA